AGCGAACGCUGGCGGCAGGCUUAACACAUGCAAGUCGAACGGGACCACCGUGAUCAGCUGCGGUCGGGGGAGUCACGCGUGGGAAGGUGCAUUCAUGUACCGGAUACUUCAUUGUAACUUGAGCUAAUGCCGGAAACGCUAUUCUGGGACCAGGUUUACUGUAGGAGGAUCGGCACGGGUCCGUUUAGCCUGUUGGGAGGGAAACAGCCUACCAAGGCGACGCUCAGUAGCUGGGCUGAGAGGAUGAUCAGCCACACUGGGACUGAGACACGGCCCAGACUCCUACGGGAGGCAGCAGUGGGGAAUAUUGGACAAGGGGCGCAAGCCUGAUCCAGCCAUGCCGCGUGAGUGAUGAAGGCCUUAGGGUUGUAAAGCUCUUUUAUCCGGGACGAUAAUGACGGUACCGGAGGAAUAAGCCCCGGCUAACUUCGUG
rnacentral:rRNA from 1 species